UUAUUGUCAUCAUCCAAGAAUAAAAGUUCCAAUGAGUUUGCCCUUGUCCCUCAACAUUCAACAACCAAAUUCAUCACAAUUUAAUAAGGUUAAUUUUGUAAUUUCAUAAACAACAUGUCCCAAAAAAACCCAAAGUCAAUUUGUAUUCUGUCCUCCAUGGCUUCAUACCCUUUUCAACCAGCACAUGUCCACGUCAGAAAAUCAUCCCAUUAUUAUUAUUCCACAUCUCAAAAAAAAUAAAAAUAAUAAUAUUCACAAAUCAAUCACAACCCUUGAUUUCCUCCCUUCCUCUCUCCAAAUCAACGGUUCUAAAACAUCCACGAUCCUCUUCUUCAAACCUUUGAUUACUUAAAUGUGUGUAUGGCUAUAUAACCUCCACGUUCCUUCUUUCUCCACCGUUGAUCAAGAACACCCUCAUCCAACGGCUCAGAUUCAGUAUCUCCUCCAUCUUCCCAAAUGUUAUUACUCUUUUGAGUAAACUCUGGAAAUAUCCCGCCUUUUCUCUUUCCAAAAAAUACAGAUGAAGUCAAGAAAGAAGAAGGAAAAUCAGAGGAUAACAAAAACACUUUUUAUUUUAUUAAUUUAAUUUAAUUUGAUUACAUCAUUUUAUUAUAAUUAAAAUUAGAAUUAAUAAAUUUGUAUUAUUAAAAACGUUGGAAAAUAUGCAAGAACAGGCUACAACAAGUGCUACUUCUGCUGCUGCUAAUUCUUUGCCUUCUAGUAGUGAGAGAUCUUCUGGCUCUGCCCUUCAACUUGAUCAUAAAGAAGGUGUGGAGAGUGAUGAUGAAAUCCGGAGAGUACCAGAGAUGGGAGGUGAACCAGGAGUAAAUUCAGCUUCUGGCCGCGACACCAGUUCUGCAGCCGGUCCAGACCGGGUUCAAGCAUCAGGACAGAGCCAAAGGAAGAGGGGUAGAAGCCCUGCUGACAAAGAAAGCAAACGUUUGAAGAGGUUGUUGAGGAAUAGAGUUUCAGCUCAGCAAGCAAGAGAAAGAAAGAAGGCAUAUUUGAGUGAUUUAGAAACAAGGGUUAAAGACUUGGAGAACAAAAACUCUGAGUUGGAAGAGAGAUUAUCUACUUUGCAAAAUGAGAAUCAGAUGCUUAGACAUAUACUGAAGAACACAACGGCAGGCCGUAGAGGAGGUGGAUCUAAUGGUGAUGCAUCCCUGUGACAUUACGAAACAAUACAACCUUUCCAUUAAAGUUACCCUUACGCAGGGAUUCAGAUUUCGGAUAGCGUUUUAGCACAUACAACAAAUGAAGAUACUGAAUUAGGCUAUGUUUGGCACACACAAAAGCUACCUUGUUGGAGUACGUAGCUGUUUAUGGUCAUCGGUCAUGAGUAGCUUUUGCGAAGCUUGGGGCUACUUGAAAGAUCAUGAAUGGCCGCUUUUGGAAUUAGGAGGCUUGUUAACUUUCUUUGGUGUAUGCCAAACAAUGCCUUGAAUAUUAAAUGUGAGUUAAAAUAUAAACACCAACCGUGUUGUACAUAGGCUUGGGAUGCUCUUGGUGGCGAAAAUACACGAGCACCCAGAAACACGAAGGCUUAAAGGGCAGGAUCCGAAAGAUGGUCAAUUUCUAAUUCGACAUGAUAAGGGCAGUGCCAUUGUUCUGAAGGCAUGUGUUGUACUGAAAAUUAAUCAUGUUUCGUUUAUACUUGGAGAAUUGAAGCUUCCAAUCAUUGAGUGAACGGUUAAUGUCUCCAGAGAUUCGUUUUAAUGGCUGGUCAUGGAAAUUGGAUUUACGUCCAAAAGGGGACUCUUAUGUGAAGGGAGAAUACUCUCAUUGUAUCUGCAGCUUGAAAAUAGCUCUAAACUGACUCAUGGUAACAAACUGUAUGUUGAAUAUGUUCUUCGCGUAAAAAAUCAACGCCAAGGACAAGACUGCCAACAACCCGUUGAUAAAUGGUUUUCUGCAAGUUGUUUCGACUGGGGGUUUAGAAGCUUUCUUUCUCUCAUAGUUCUAAAUGAUCCUUGAGAGGGCUACUUAGCAGACGAGACUAUAGUUAUUGAACUUCAUAUUUAGAAGAUGAUUUUGCUGAGAGAUCUGGAGUCUGAUGUCAACUAGAUAGGAGUAAGGAGAGCUUUAAGCAUGUCCAACAAGCUAGAAACAAUUCCGCGAUUUAAUUUCAUUGUUCUUAAUACCAUGUGAAAUGGUUCAAUAGUGCAAUUUGCAAAGCAACUGAUGCGUCUUGAUGUAAUGGUAGCAUUACAACAUUAACAUAGGUGUUUCAAUAUCUUUCCUUUUUAUUUACUAUUUUAAUUUAUAAACAAAUACAGUUAAUUAC